UAAAUAUAACCAUGAGACCGAUAGUAAACAAGUACCGUGAGGGAAAGUUGAAAAGAACUCUGAAUAGAGAGUUAAAUAGUACGUGAAACUGCUUAGAGGUUAAGCCCGAUGAACCUGAAUAUCCAAUAUAGAAAAUUCAUCAUUAUGAUUUAAAUAUUUGCAAUAUUUUAAUAAUGGUGUGCAUUUUUUCUAUAGAGGACAUUGUAAUCUAUUAACAUAAAAUUUAUCAUAAGAUCAAUUUGCGUAAGUUUAUUCAAAUUAUUUUGCUUGCAAUUUAACAUAGAAUAAAUGCUUUUGAUUUGAUAAAGUGUUGAUAGAUUUAUUAUAUAUAGUGCUUAAAUAUUUAUAUUUUAUAGUAGCAUAUUAAUUUUUAAUUUUUGUGUUUACUAUAUGCACUUAUAUGAUUAACAAUGCGAAAGANUCAGGAUACCUUCGGGACCCGUC
rnacentral:rRNA from 1 species